rnacentral:rRNA from 1 species
AUUGAACGCUGGCGGCAGGCUUAACACAUGCAAGUCGAGCGGAGAUGAGGUGCUUGCACCUUAUCUUAGCGGCGGACGGGUGAGUAAUGCUUAGGAAUCUGCCUAUUAGUGGGGGACAACAUUCCGAAAGGAAUGCUAAUACCGCAUACGUCCUACGGGAGAAAGCAGGGGAUCUUCGGACCUUGCGCUAAUAGAUGAGCCUAAGUCGGAUUAGCUAGUUGGUGGGGUAAAGGCCUACCAAGGCGACGAUCUGUAGCGGGUCUGAGAGGAUGAUCCGCCACACUGGGACUGAGACACGGCCCAGACUCCUACGGGAGGCAGCAGUGGGGAAUAUUGGACAAUGGGGGGAAGCCUGAUCCAACCAUGCCGCGUGUGUGAAGAAGGCCUUUUGGUUGUAAAGCACUUUAAGCGAGGAGGAGGCUACUUAGAUUAAUACUCUAGGAUAGUGGACGUUACUCGCAGAAUAAGCACCGGCUAACCCUGUGCCAGCAGCCGCAGUAACAC